AAGUCCGACGAUACAGGGUGAUAGUCCCGUAGUUGACGACGUGUGUUCAGUGAAAUCGAGUAGGGCGGGACACGUGAUAUCCUGUCUGAAUAUGGGGGGACCAUCCUCCAAGGCUAAAUACUACUGACUGACCGAUAGUGAACCAGUACCGUGAGGGAAAGGCGAAAAGAACCCCUGUGAGGGGAGUGAAAUAGAACCUGAAACCGUGUACGUACAAGCAGUAGGAGCAGGCUUUGUCCUGUGACUGCGUACCUUUUGUAUAAUGGGUCAGCGACUUAUAUUCAGUGGCAAGGUUAACCAUCUAGGGGAGCCGUAGGGAAACCGAGUCUUAACUGGGCGUUCAGUCUCUGGAUAUAGACC
rnacentral:rRNA from 1 species